GGUCUCUGGGCUGUUCCCCGACCCACAUGGUGAAUCUCUGAGGCAAGAAAAUCGGCCAAUAAGCGCAGGACCCACCAAGGUAGAGGAGGAACUUUGUCACAAUAGGUAGAGAUACACUCCUAUGAUGCUAUCCUACUUGUGAGAUUGACAAGUAGUUAGGAGUGAUGAGUGUGUAUUGGGUAAAUAAGAAAAGCAAAGCUGUAAUGCAAGGCCUACAGGCUAAGGCUUGUAAGAGUUUAGCUUAAUCAUGCUAGGCCUCAGGCUUAAGGAGGCAUGAUAUACGUAGGUGACCUAGGACUAACCCUGUGCCUGUCAAAUUACAAGAUUAUGUAAAGAAUGUGCCAAUAGGUGAUGGUCAGACCACAAGAUGUGAUUGUAACAUUAUGAAAAGUUCUACUCUUACCGCAGGUUACCAUGGAAACAUGUUUACAUAGAUACUAAUGAGAUGAAGGGGAUCAAAGGUGACAACCUAUGAAAAGUGGGGCACCCCAAAAUUUAUGGGGUGUGAAAGUACAGAGGAUGUAAUGGUGUGAAGCUCUUGUCAAACCAGGAGCAGGGGAAAGAGAGUUGGUUGGCUGGAUGGGGUGUCAAUCACCCAGAGAGACAGGAGAGGGACUUCCUUACCCUGCAAAGGGUCCUGGGUAGAGAAGCCCUUUAUAAAUUGCCUUGGCUUCUAAUUGAGAGUGAGAGAAUUACAGGAGGGAAGACCUGGUGAUGGAUUCUAGGCCUGUUGGAGGUAUGUUAUGGAAGGUAUUCCUUUCUGUUUGGAUUUAUUUAUUUAAAAUAAAUCCAGGCUUUUUUGUUUUUAAAUUUGUCCAAAGUGGGUCUUGCUGCUUAUCGGACAGCCUUGCCGCUGCACUCUGCCACAGAGGAAUUGACCCCUGGUCUUCCAUAUCCCAGGCUAAGAGUGCUGCUGAAUAUAUGCAGGCCUCUAAAUCCCUUAUUGUGCUGUCUUUAGAAACAGCUUGAGAAGUUCAGAACCAUGAUUCCAUUUGAUCAGAUGACAUUUGAGGACUUGAAUAAGGUCUUCCCUGAAACGAAACUGGACAAGGAGAAAUAUCCAUAUUGGCCACAUAAACCUGCUGAAGACCUGUAAAUCUGUCUGAAAGCAGUUUCUGGUGACUGUCAAAUUCUCUAGAAUCUUUUAAAUAAAGUAAUUGUACAGGAUUUUUUUGCUUCA